rnacentral:rRNA from 1 species
ACUCAAAUGAAUAGACGGGGGCCCGCACAAGCGGCGGAGCAUGCGGAUUAAUUCGAUGCAACGCGAAGAACCUUACCUGGGUUUGACAUCGCCGGAAAACUCGUAGAGAUACGGGGUCCUUCGGGGCCGGUGACAGGUGGUGCAUGGCUGUCGUCAGCUCGUGUCGUGAGAUGUUGGGUUAAGUCCCGCAACGAGCGCAACCCUCGUUCGAUGUUGCCAGCGCGUUAUGGCGGGGACUCAUCGAAGACUGCCGGGGUCAACUCGGAGGAAGGUGGGGAUGACGUCAAGUCAUCAUGCCCCUUAUGUCCAGGGCUUCACGCAUGCUACAAUGGCCGGUACAAAGGGUUGCGAUGCCGUGAGGUGGAGCGAAUCCCAAAAAGCCGGUCUCAGUUCGGAUCGGGGUCUGCAACUCGACCCCGUGAAGUCGGAGUCGCUAGUAAUCGCAGAUCAGCAACGCUGCGGUGAAUACGUUCCCGGGCCUUGUACACACCGCCCGU